rnacentral:rRNA from 1 species
AACGAACGCUGGCGGCAUGCCUAACACAUGCAAGUCGAACGAGACCUUCGGGUCUAGUGGCGCACGGGUGCGUAACGCGUGGGAACCUGCCCUUAGGUUCGGAAUAACUCCCCGAAAGGGGUGCUAAUACCGGUUAAUGUCUUCGGCCCAAAGAUUUAUCGCCUUUGGAUGGGCCCGCGUUGGUUUAGCUAGUUGGUAGGGUAAAAGCCUACCAAGGCGACGAUCCAUAGCUGGUCUGGGAGGAUGAUCAGCCACACUGGGACUGAGACACGGCCCAGACUCCUACGGGAGGAAGCAGUGGGGAAUAUUGGACAAUGGGCGAAAGCCUGAUCAAGCAAUGCCGCGUGAGUGAUGAAGGCCUUAGGGUUGUAAAGCUCUUUUACCCGGGAUGAUAAUGACAGUACCGGGAGAAUAAGCCCCGGCUAACUCCGUG